GCUCCAUGAGAAUAUAUCAAAUUUGUUGCAGUUGAAAAGCUCGUAGUUGAAUUUCUGGCCGUUUGUCGUUGUUUGUUUGGAGCAAUCCAGGCAGAUUGGGCGAUGGCGGUCAUCUUGUUUCUUUUUUUACGAAGGAACUCAGUCACUGAGAGUAAAUUGGAAUGCUUAAAGUAGGUCUGACGACUUUGAACAUUCAAGCU
rnacentral:rRNA from 1 species